rnacentral:lncRNA from 1 species
CAUUCAAUAGCCCCCUCGUGUAGUUCUUCUGAAUUUUGAAUAGUAUUCAAGAUCCUCUCUUUUCGAUUAUCUAAUAAAUCACUUAAUGAAAGUUGAAUAUCUUUCCAUUCAUUUUUUUAUUUCAAAAAUUCCAUGUUCUCUUCCCAAACCAAACAUGAACCUUUCGAUUCAUUUGGCUCUCACACUCAAUUAUUUCUUAUUUAUUGGGAAUUAAUUUUGAAUAUCUUUUUUUCUAAUGUAAUGAGCUUACCCUAUCCCUCUCGUCUCUAUUCAUAUUCCAAAAUAUCGAAACUGAUUACUAACCCAAGACCAGAAUAUUCGGAGGAUUCUUCUGACCAAAAUAGAAAAUAUAUCAAAAAAUUAAAAAGUACAAUAAAAAAUAAAAAAUUUACAUAUAAUUUGAAAUUUCUAAUUGUACUUAGAAUUGUAUAAUGUAUAAUUGUAAUUUGUCAGCAAAGUUGUUUCUUUUUUUCUUCAAAUUCAAAGAAUUCUUCUCCCUUUAUACAUAGGUCAUCGAUUCAACAUUGGAAAAAGGGGUUCAAAUCGUUUUAUCGACAUAAGUGUUUGAACUUCAAACGGGUUUGGCCUUAACCAUGUUAAUGGUCCCAGAUUAUUGGUUAAUAGAGAAUCAAAGUCCAUCGUACCAAUGAAUCACGAAAUGAUAUGGUUCUAUAAUAUGAUUUUAAAAAUUUAUUCAGAAGUAAUUCGCGGGAUCAUGCACUCUUUUCUUUCCUAGUUAUAAUGAAAAAAAGUACAACUGGGUGAAUCCAACCUAUUCUUGAAAUAAACAACUCGCACACACUCCCUUUCCAAAAAAGAUCAAUACACCAAGGACUACACUUAGAUUCAUUGGAUUUGUUGCUAAAAUAUCGGUAUUAACCCCGAAACUCCCGGCGGAUGGCCAGUGACCCAAGGAAACGAAAGAAUCGGUUAAAUUUUUUAUAUGAUCUCCUAUUUUAUUUUAGAUAGACCUUUUUUUUGUAUUAUAUCGCUUUGACUCCUUUUCCAUUUAUUCUAUUCUAUCAUAUUUAUAUUAUUCUAAUUAUUCUAAUUCUAUGUAUUUCUUUUUUUGUUUUAAUAAUUA